ACCAAACUGCGUGAAUUGACCACGGCGAAAACGGAUGAGACUAAAUGCCCCGAGGGACGCGCAAAACAUUGCCAGUGAUGUGACUUCAUUCUGUGCAUGUUACCCUCUAUUAGCCUUCGAGGCAGUUUUUGGCCAAUAAG
ensembl:ncRNA ZK813.8 ncRNA